AAGAUUACACACACACACACACACACACACACACACACACACACACUAACCUAACCUAACCUAACCAUCCCUAACAGCCACUCAAUCAAUGCUUCCGCCCAGUGGCUGGUCUCGUUUUGCUGUACGGCUGCCCGGUGAGGUGAUGGUAGUUCUGCCGGGAGGACGAGGGUGCCGAGUGCUGGCUGGGCGUCUUGGGGCCUUGCCGACGCUCAAUGAAGGCGUAGGUGACGGAGGUCGGUCGCCGUUCCGCCCCGACGUCUGGUGUGAGGUCGAUGGUCAGGUUGUCUUCGUCGUCGAGGAGCUUGAGUUUGGCUUCGAGCUCCGCGAUUUUGCUUUUCUUGCUGCUGUGGGUGUGAGGUUACAUGAGGUUAAGUUAGGUCAGGUUAGAGUCUUGGUAUAAUAGGGGUGAAGGGGUGUGAGGUUAGAUUCUUGCUGCUGUGGGUAUGAGGUUACAUGAGGUUAAGUUAGGUUAGGUUAGAGUCUUGGUAUAAUAGGGGUGAAGGGGUGUGAGGUUAGGUGGGGAUCUCUAGGUUAGAUUCUUGCUGCUGUGGGUGUGAGGUUACAUGAGGUUAAGUUAGGUCAGGUUAGAUUCUUGGUAUAAUAGGGGUGAAGGGGUGUGAGGUUAGGUGGGGAUCUCUAGGUUAGAUUCUUGCUGCUGUGGGUGUGAGGUUACAUGAGGUUAAGUUAGGUUAGAGUCUUGGUAUAAUAGGGGUGAAGGGGUGUGAGGUUAGGUGGGGAUCUCUAGGUUAGAUUCUUGCUGCUGUGGGUGUGAGGUUACAUGAGGUUAAGUUAGGUUAGAGUCUUGGUAUAAUAGGGGUGAAGGGGUGUGAGGUUAGGUGGGGAUCUCUAGGUUAGAUUCUUGCUGCUGUGGGUGUGAGGUUACAUGAGGUUAAGUUAGGUCAGGUUAGAGUCUUGGUAUAAUAGGGGUGAAGGGGUUUGAGGUUAGGUGGGGAUUUCUAGGUUAGAUUCUUGCUGCUGUGGGGUGGAGGGGUGUGAGGUUAGGUGGGGAUUUCUAGGUUAGAUUCUUGCUGCUGUGGGGUGGAGGGGUGUGAGGUUAGGUGAGAUUAGAUUAAUAUAGGUUACAUUUUUGUCAUUUAUUCGCCAUCACACGGACAUUUUCUGGUGUCUGUUAUUGGCCGCUGGUACUGGUGGCAAGGAGCGCUCUUCCUGUCACACGCGCAACAGAUGUUUUCGGCCUCAGCACAGAUCAAAACAAGCAGGAUGGACCGUGACCGCAGGAGACGCCUUGCCCGAACUGGAAUUAAUUCAUGCAUUGUGGCUCAUAUUGUUGGGACACUCCUUCAGGGAUUCCGCUAAUUUCUUGAAAACUUCUCUCUUCUUAUUUCUCUUCAAAUAGUUUUCAUCCCUGGUGUCCCACAGAUGCUUGUUUUCCCGAUAGAGCUCACAGAGGGCGGCAGAAGCAUCCUUGGACCUAAUAAUUUGCUCCAUUUUUAUUUUAUUUUUUUUUAUUUUUAUUUUUUUUACGUUGUUGCCUAUUGCGCAGGUAGGCAUCUUCCCGGUGGGGCCUGAUGGUCGGCCCAGCCCGUUCUGGCGCAGGCGAGUGUUUACAGUGGCGCCAUCUUGUAAUGCCCACACAGCAGCUGAAAGUGUAAACAAGGACGCCCGUAAUGGCUCCAAGAUGACGAUAAUUGGUGUCUCGUGAUUGGCGGAGUGACAGCACUUUUAAUUUACUUUUCCUUUCUUCCUUCUACUUCCUCCAUUCUCUAUUAAGUCUUCAUUUUCUUAGUUACGUUUUUAUAUUCUCUCUUUUCCUAUUACUUUUUUAAUUAUACUACAUUUCUUUCAUUCUCUCUUUCUCCUCCUUCCUUUCUUUCUUCUUCCUUCCUCCAUUCUCUAUUAAUUCUUCAUUUUCUUAGUUACGUUUUUAUAUUCUAUCUUUCUUUUCCUAUUACUUUUUUAAUUAUACUAUAUUUCUUUCAUUUUCUCUUUCUCCUCCUUCCUUUCUUUCUUCUUUCUUCCUCCAUUCUCUAUUAAUUCUUCAUUUUCUUAGUUACGUUUUUAUAUUCUAUCUUUCUUUUCCUAUUACUUUUUUAAUUAUACUACAUUUCUUUCAUUCUCUCUUUCUCCUCCUUCCUUCCUUUCUUCUUCAUUUUCUUAGUGAUCUUCUAAUACU